rnacentral:tRNA from 1 species
AUUGAGUUGGCAGAUUUAUGUGGUUGAUUUAGGCUCAACAGAAAAAGGUGAAAGUCCUUUACUUAAUA